rnacentral:lncRNA from 1 species
UCUAAACCUGAGAUUAGUAAGAAAUGGGUUGAAGGUGAGGGUGGAGGGAAAGGUCUCCCUUAUCUGAGAGUUUCAAAUGACUGUGAUUCAGAAGGCUGGAGAGCUCAGACCAAAGCACGUUUGAGGAGCUUGAAGGUUUAUCAGAUGGCUAUUCACAGCCUACAGACUUGGCCUUCGACUGGCUCUUCAAAUAGAAGUUAUUUGCAUGUUUCUUCCAUUUUCACUCUGCUGCAGAACCAUCUGGCCACAGGCUGACCUUACCUGAACUUAAUUCCAGG